rnacentral:lncRNA from 1 species
UUAUAUUAACAUUUCACCAUAAUUUCCUCCAAUUCAACAUUUCACAAUCAUUUUCAAAAUGCCAAUUCGAUUUUAUAAUCAAUUCUAUUUCAUCAUCAAUUUAAAACCAUUAAGCGAUUUAAAAGAUCACACAAUUCUCGAUUCAAUGUCGAGCCCAUUUUUCAAAUCCCUUUGUAAGUCGAUUGCUUUUAAGCAUCACCAUCAACCUCACAUAGCUUACUCUUGGGCUUUCUUACAAUGAAACCGUUCUCUCGCACCUACACUCAUGCAUUGUUUAUUUGUUGAUUGGGCCCGAUUUAAUUAUUACACUAUCUUGAAUCCCCAUUUGACCAAAUGUACCCCCAUUCCCAUGACAUGUAAUAAUUUUAUCGCUUUUUAUUUCUUUAUUUGCUUGACUGUUUAGCUAGUUACUAACACAAGAAUAAAAUCAAUUUCUUUUCAAAAAGAUAAAAAAAAUAAUGACUCGAUCCAAUGUCGAGUAUUUUCUCAAUAAACAAAUCAAUC